rnacentral:misc_RNA from 1 species
CUUCAUCACGCUCUUGAAUCUCAUCAGCAAGAACUUCGUUGGUUUUCAGUGCAUUUAACCAGAAAUGAGGCACACCUUUCUCUUCAGCAGAAUUUCCAUCAGUUGCUUCAAUUGUUACACCUUCCACUUCAACCACACCAUUCACAAUUUCACAUCGCUUGGUGUAUAAAGGUUCAUAAAACUUCUGGUAUUUGGCUUCAAGUGCUGCUCUUUCCUCGAAGAAUUUUGCCUCAAACUCAUCAUGUUGGCUCUGAAUCUCCCUCAGAACCUCGACUCGCUUCCGAACGUUCGGCGAUAGAUCCUCCAACACAGCAGACUGCUUCAGUUUCUCCUUGAUGACGUCGACGAGCUUAGCCCUGUCCUCACCGCUGAGUCCGACGGCGGCGCCGGGGAGGCUGGCAUUGAGAUCGGAGAGGUCGAGGGCGUCCUGCUUGUUUUCGGCGCUCAUCGUCGCUCCGCCGCCGGGAAACCCUAGAGAACGAGCGGUUGGAGAGGAGUGGGG